GAUGAACGCUGGCGGCGUGCCUAAUACAUGCAAGUCGAACGCAUUGUGGUUGAAAUGAUAUGAAGAACUUGUUCAGAUUUGAUUUUAAACAUUGCAAUGAGUGGCGAACGGGUGAGUAACACGUGGGAAACCUACCUCUUAGCAGGGGAUAACAUUUGGAAACAAAUGCUAAUACCGUAUAAUAAUUAAAACCGCAUGGUUUUAGUUUAAAAGAUGGUCUUGCUAUCACUAAGAGAUGGUCCCGCGGUGUAUUAGUUAGUUGGUGAGGUAAUGGCUCACCAAGACAAUGAUACAUAGCCGAGUUGAGAGACUGACCGGCCACAAUGGGACUGAGACACGGCCCAUACUCCUACGGGAGGCAGCAGUAGGGAAUCUUCCACAAUGGACGAAAGUCUGAUGGAGCAACGCCGCGUGUGUGAUGAAGGGUUUCGGCUCGUAAAACACUGUUGUAAGAGAAGAAUGACAUUGAGGUAACUGUUCAAUGUGUGACGGUAUCUUACCUAGAAA
rnacentral:rRNA from 1 species